CUCCCACACAGCACAGCAGCGAUUUUUAUAGUAAAAGCAAGUCAAGGUGAUGUAUUUGUGUUUUACGGAGCUGGGCCUUGGGUGCAGUUAGCUGAACUCCUGGGCUGUGGUAUACAGUUGGCAGACAUUUCUAACUGUGGGCCUCUGGGAACUAAUUGUGGAGAGAUACCAUCUAGUUUCUAUGCCAGUAAUUCAUUGAAUCUUUUCAGAGCUUCAGCUUUCCAUAGAAGCACUGAAUGUUUCAAGAAAAAGGUAUACUUCAGGAAGCACAAGAGAAAGUAAAAAAUGAAUCCAAGUAUAUACAAGGGCUGCUCUGAAGGUAAUGCCUCCUAUUUUAUUAUUUUGGUCUGUUAUGUCAGAGGCAGGUUGGUGAUAUGGCAGUAGAAGUUGAAACUUCCCGCCAGUAUCCCGUUACAUUUUACAUGCUGUGUGACAGAUGGAAGCAGAGGGGCAGUCUGACAAAAUAGUGUCUGCCAUGGAUGUGCUUACAAAUCAAAGAUGUGCUAUUUAAUUCCUCUGUGAAGAAAAAAAAAAUUCAUCCAUUGACACUGAUUGAUGCAUGCUAAAUGUUGAUGGAGAUCCAACAGUGGAUGUAGCUCAGUGAGGUGGUGGGCUGUGUGUUUUAGCAGCAGUGACAUCAAGCUACUUCCACUGGAGCAGAUUUUUAUGAGUACAGUGUGCAGGCUCUUGUUCACAGCUG
rnacentral:lncRNA from 1 species